rnacentral:rRNA from 1 species
CCUACGGGUGGCUGCAGUGGGGAAUAUUGGACAAUGGGGGGAACCCUGAUCCAGCCAUGCCGCGUGUGUGAAGAAGGCCCUCGGGUUGUAAAGCACUUUCAGUGAGGAAGAACGCCUGGUGGUUAAUACCCAUCAGGAAAGACAUCACUCACAGAAGAAGCACCGGCUAACUACGUGCCAGCAGCCGCGGUAAUACGGAGGGUGCGAGCGUUAAUCGGAAUUACUGGGCGUAAAGCGCGCGUAGGUGGCUUGAUAAGCCGGUUGUGAAAGCCCCGGGCUCAACCUGGGAACGGCAUCCGGAACUGUCAAGCUAGAGUGCAGGAGAGGAAGGUAGAAUUCCCGGUGUAGCGGUGAAAUGCGUAGAGAUCGGGAGGAAUACCAGUGGCGAAGGCGGCCUUCUGGACUGACACUGACACUGAGGUGCGAAAGCGUGGGUAGCAAACAGGAUUAGAUACCCUAGUAGUC